rnacentral:rRNA from 1 species
GACGAACGCUGGCGGCGUGCUUAACACAUGCAAGUCGAACGGAAAGGCCCUGCUUUUGUGGGGUGCUCGAGUGGCGAACGGGUGAGUAACACGUGAGUAACCUGCCCUUGACUUUGGGAUAACUUCAGGAAACUGGGGCUAAUACCGGAUAGGAGCUCCUGCUGCAUGGUGGGGGUUGGAAAGUUUCGGCGGUUGGGGAUGGACUCGCGGCUUAUCAGCUUGUUGGUGGGGUAGUGGCUUACCAAGGCUUUGACGGGUAGCCGGCCUGAGAGGAUGACCGGCCACAUUGGGACUGAGAUACGGCCCAGACUCCUACGGGAGGCAGCAGUGGGGAAUAUUGCACAAUGGGCGGAAGCCUGAUGCAGCAACGCCGCGUGCGGGAUGACGGCCUUCGGGUUGUAAACCGCUUUCGCCUGUGACGAAGCGUGAGUGACGGUAAUGGGUAAAGAAGCACCGGCUAACUACGUGCCAGCAGCCGCGGUGAUACGUAGGGUGCGAGCGUUGUCCGGAUUUAUUGGGCGUAAAGGGCUCGUAGGUGGUUGAUCGCGUCGGAAGUGUAAUCUUGGGGCUUAACCCUGAGCGCGCUUUCGAUACAGGUUGACUUGAGGAAGGUAGGGGAGAAUGGAAUUCCUGGUGGAGCGGUGGAAUGCGCAGAUAUCAGGAGGAACACCAGUGGCGAAGGCGGUUCUCUGGGCCUUUCCUGACGCUGAGGAGCGAAAGCGUGGGGAGCGAACAGGCUUAGAUACCCUGGUAGUCCACGCUGUAAACGGUGGGUACUAGGUGUGGGGUCCAUUCCACGGGUUCCGUGCCGUAGCUAACGCUUUAAGUACCCCGCCUGGGGAGUACGGCCGCAAGGCUAAAACUCAAAGGAAUUGACGGGGCCCCGCACAAGCGGCGGAGCAUGCGGAUUAAUUCGAUGCAACGCGUAGAACCUUACCUGGGUUUGACAUGGAUCGGGAGUGCUCAGAGAUGGGUGUGCCUCUUUUGGGGUCGGUUCACAGGUGGUGCAUGGCUGUCGUCAGCUCGUGUCGUGAGAUGUUGGGUUAAGUCCCGCAACGAGCGCAACCCUUGUUCACUGUUGCCAGCACGUUAUGGUGGGGACUCAGUGGAGACCGCCGGGGUCAACUCGGAGGAAGGUGGGGAUGACGUCAAGUCAUCAUGCCCCUUGUGUCCAGGGCUUCACGCAUGCUACAAUGGCUGGUACAGAGAGUGGCGAGCCUGUGAGGGUGAGCGAAUCUCGGAAAGCCGGCCUCAGUUCGGAUUGGGGUCUGCAACUCGACCUCGUGAAGUCGGAGUCGCUAGUAAUCGCAGAUCAGCAACGCUGCGGUGAAUACGUUCCCGGG